rnacentral:misc_RNA from 1 species
AGGGAGGUUAUUCGUUAUGAUUUUGUUACUCCAUGACUUUCCCUCUUUAAAUCUGUGUACAUCAUAUUGAUUUGAAAUGAUUUUGUCUUCCAUGAUUUUGAACCUAUAAACUUCCUCAAGUUUUAUAAAUGUUAUUUCUGGGGGUUUUUUUUCAAAUGUUUGUUAUCACUUAUACAAUGUAUAUAAUUACAUCUUAUAUAUAAUUACAUGUAUCUAUUAUAUGAUUAUAGUGUCUAAGCUUUAAAUGCUCUAUUCAUUACAUGUAACUAAAUGGGGUUUUUGUUUGUUACACCAUUUAAGGUUGCUGGGUUGCCAGAUGUACCUUAAACUCUAAGAUUUGAUAGUUUUAGCUCAAAACUAUACAUGUAAUCCAGGAAGGAAAAAUUUCAUUGCUCUUAGCUUUAGAAUUUGAGAAUAUUUUCUUAAUCUCUAUAUAGUGCCCAUCUUUUUAAAAGGAGAUUAAUUUACUCUGAAAAUGGCGUUGAGCCUUCAUACCUCUUAAAUUUUUUUAUUUUUGAAUAAAAUAUCUCUCCAGAGUCUCAAAUUUUCCUUUCCUUUCAUUUAUUUGGCAUACUUUCACAUUCAUUUUUUUCGAAUUUGCCUUUUUAUAAAUGAAGAAAGGAGGAUAUUAGAGAUUGAAAUGGUUGUCAUCAAUAUUUUUCAUUUAUGAUACAUGUAAUGUAAUUCUACCAUACAACUAUAAAUAAUCUUUGGGGCCAUAUAAAUGUAUACCUUACAAAUCUGUGAUAUACAAUAAAAUGUCUGUAUUGUUCACUUUAAUUCCAAUCUUUCUGCACAAUAAAAUAUCUAUCAUAUG